GACGAACGCUGGCGGCGUGCCUAAUACAUGCAAGUCGAACGCUUCUUUCCUCCCGAGUGCUUGCACUCGAUUGGAAAGAGGAGUGGCGGACGGGUGAGUAACACGUGGGUAACCUACCCAUCAGAGGGGGAUAACACUUGGAAACAGGUGCUAAUACCGCAUAACAGUUUAUGCCGCAUGGCAUAAGAGUGAAAGGCGCUUUCGGGUGUCGCUGAUGGAUGGACCCGCGGUGCAUUAGCUAGUUGGUGAGGUAACGGCUCACCAAGGCCACGAUGCAUAGCCAACCUGAGAGGGUGAUCGGCCACACUGGGACGGAGACACGGCCCAGACUCCUACGGGAGGCAGCAGUAGGGAAUCUUCGGCAAUGGACGAAAGUCUGACCGAGCAACGCCGCGUGAGUGAAGAAGGUUUUCGGAUCGUAAAACUCUGUUGUUAGAGAAGAACAAGGACGUUAGUAACUGAACGUCCCCUGACGGUAUCUAACCAGAAAGCCACGGCUAACUACGUGCCAGCAGCCGCAGUAA
rnacentral:rRNA from 1 species